rnacentral:rRNA from 1 species
UCCUACGGGAGGCAGCAGUAGGGAAUAUUGGGCAAUGGGCGAAAGCCUGACCCAGCGACGCCGCGUGAGGGAUGAAGGUCUUCGGAUUGUAAACCUCUUUCAGUAGGGAAGAAGCGAAAGUGACGGUACCUAAAGAAGAAGCACCGGCUAACUAUGUGCCAGCAGCCGCGGUAAUA